rnacentral:lncRNA from 1 species
GGCCAGGCGCAGUGAGGAAUCCGCUCCGCAGCGUACCCAGCCGCGAGAAGAGCCGCCCCGGUCACCUACUAUGUCACAGGCAGAUGAAAGCAAGCAGCAGGUGGAGCCAACAAGCGACAGCAAGCAGCCACAUCAAGCCACCCCCGAAGGCAGUCCCCGGCCAGGACCAGGACACCCUGGACACGGACCAGAACGGCCGACCUGGCGGAAGGCGGCAGGAGCCCGGAGGACACGGGGCAGGUGCUGUGGAGUUGUGCAGUCCUGGAGUCACCCGGGAAAGAAGAUGCGCUACUAGAGGAGCGUGUUUGCUAGCUCCGGGCCCACGUGGGCCCGGGUCUGGGUCCUGAAAGGCCCCCCUUCCUUUCCCUAGCCUUCCCUCCGUCCUCCCUUCUUUCCUUCCUGCUGGGUACCAAAUCAUUGUCAGACUGAGGUCUCCGCCCUGGGAAGGUAGAGUUCUUUGAAUGCGAUGUCUGGGCGCCAAGGAAGAAAGGGAAAGAAAUGUGGCGAGGUGAGCCUUUUAUAAGAUGGAUUUUAGACAAAUUAAUUUUCCAGUGUGAGCAGUGCCCAGGGAUGAUGCCAAGGCAGGGUAACGUUGCUUUCCCUCGCCAAAGCCUGGGGAUGCUGUGGUCUUGUUCAGCUUUGCUUCUGUCAAGGAAUUGAGAUCUCAGGAAGACGGUAGUGCAGAUCUGUGAACAUCUUUGAUGUAGAAUGUAUCACUUGGUGUAGACCUUGUUUUGGAUAGUGGCUCUGCUUGUAAUCCUUCCCUCUUCAUAAACUCCAUCUAAUUUCUAAGCCCACUGCUUCCUUGUAAAACUUGUUCCCAUGACUAUUACACUACCAUUUCAGAAAAUUGUUCACUGAUGAGCUCAACUGGGAUACAAGCAGAAAGUACCCCCAAAAGACUAUUUUGCCAAAUUUGGAGAGAUUGUUGACUAUUGUAAAAAUGGAUUCCAACACUAGAAAUCAAGAAGGCUGGGGCUAAAGAUGAAGCCAGGGUGGAGAAGGUAAGUUGGGUACUCCAUCAAGGGCCCUUGUAUAUGGGAUAUGAUUCUAAGGGAACAUUUCUGGAUCAUGUUUAGUUUGACUGAGCUACAUGUGGCCAAGUACAUGGAGGGGUGGGUGCAGAGUUCAAGCACUUGUUCCUGUACAGAUUAAAUGAGGGAGUGAGAGGUAUAUGGAUUGGAGUGGCCCAGGAAGGAGAUAGUUGACAUUUAGUACCUAUUUAUGUCUCUAUUUGGGGGGAAUGUGCUAAAUGCUUCACAUAUGAGGAUUAGAAAAACAUCCAAGGAUGCUAUGAGACAGACAUUGAAGUGCUGUUUACAGAGGGGAAACAGAUUCAGAGAAGAGUGUAAGUAACUAUAAGAGAUCACACAGAGAGUAUGGGGUGGAACAACCAGAAUGCCAACCCUAGUAGCCCAGAUCCAGGCAACUGUUUUAAUCUCUGCUGCUUCACUCCUGGAGGAAACAAGCCUUAGAACGGGACUUUCAUGGCAGGAAGAAGGCUCACAGUUAACAAACUCCAAGGGAGUGAGUACAGAUUUAUGUGUGUUGGAUAAACUGGAUUUCAGGCUUAGAGAAUAUUGGGAGGACAGACUUGGGUAAAGUAUGGUGUCUUUGGAAGGGAUGAAAUAUUUUAUGUACCUAUGGUAGAAUCUUGUGACUCAAAGUGAAGGUAGUAACUCCUGGGCAAUGCUCCUAAGAAAUGCCAAUGAGAAUUCGAAUGAGAGUCUGCUGGUGUUAAUGUUAGACAUGCCAAUGAGAAUUAAAAUCAGUUUCUCCUUUCUCAGAAGGACAACUGUGGUUUGUAGUUCAUAAUGGUUUUCCAUCCAUUAUUGAAUUACUCAGAGUAAUGUGAUUGAACAUAUUGUAACCAUUAAAAUUGACAGUCCAUCUUUCACUUUGCUUGUGGAUGAACUGCUGUGUUCUGAUUUUUAAGAAAUCAUUAUUGAACAUUUGACCAUGUUUUCUAAGAGAUCAGAUAAUGAAGAUGAAAAAAUUAUAAUAACCAACACAAGUAGGACCCCCAUCACAGAAAUAGAAGGCUAAAAAUCUGUGACAUUUUAAUAAUAGAUGGAAAGACACAUUUGACUGUAUUAGGGAGUUAAUUAACCAAAACAGAGCAUGCUGCAUGUUAUGCAGAAAAUAAUUUGGAAUCAGGCAUGGGGGAAGAAGGAGAUGUGAAAGUUCAUACCGAGAUUGAAUCUCACAAGUCAAGAAUGAGAAAGGCAAAUAUUUCUAAGCCAAUAAAAAGUACUUUUGUUUUCCAGAAAGAUAUCACAAUGUUUAAAAUUAACAGCUGCUGAAUUAGCUUGGGCAUAUCACAC